GCGCUCUCCGUCCGCGGCGGCAGUGUAACAACUACUGCUGCGCCGCGGCCAGUUUGUGAUAGCAGCGCAGCGGAAGGCUUUCAUAGCCCUCCCUGCGCCGCAUACUCACUGGGACCCGGCGCCUUCUCCCCCACGUGUGAUGCCACCGCCACCGGCGCGCCCAGAUCCCUGGACUCCACAUCCCAGCACCUGACCAAAGUGAUGGAGAAGGAACGGGCAGAGCGGGUGCCGCUGCGGGGAGGUGAUGUUUGGACGCCGCACAGAUAUUACAGGUACCCCUAAUGGAUUCUACAUGGACAAGUGGACGUGAUCGGCGUGGGAUGUAGGGCAUUAAUGGUCCGCCGUGAAGUUGAGAGGGACCCAGCUGCUCAGCCAUAUGUCUAACAACCAAAUCUUCUUGCCAAAUUGGAGACUGUCGUAUCGGCCAGCUUCCAAGUUACACGGCAGGUCCGUGCAUCGCCAGCAUCAGCGAUUCCACUCUAUGACCUGUUCUGGAUCCGCAGUCUUUUGGAUGCUGAUUGUCGCGUAGGCUGUAGCUCACUAGACCCACAGGCGUUGCAUCUAUCACCCAGACUACUAAUUUAUCUGAAUAAUAACUUCCAUAAUUUGAUUGUCAUACAGUAAGUUCAUAGACCUACCUCUCCUAUAACGGUGCAACGUCUAGAUGAAACAGUGUCUAGGUGGGACCACCCAUAGUAAUCAAAUUGACAUUGUCUUUUAUGCCUUAAUAUGCCAUUCUCUGCAAUAAAGUCUGCUCUAUCUGUAGACCUCAUUACGUAAAUAAAUGUAUUUUAGAGAGA